GCAGGCUCGCGCUUGAAUACAUUAGCAUGGAAUAAUGAAAUAGACGUUUGAUUCUAUUUUGUUGGUUUCUAGGAUCGACGUAAUGAUUAAUAGGGAUAGUUGGGGGCAUUAGUAUUCAAUUGUCAGAGGUGAAAUUCUUGGAUUUAUUGAAGACUAACUACUGCGAAAGCAUUUGCCAAGGAUGUUUUCAUUAAUCAAGAACGAAAGUUAGGGGAUCGAAGACGAUCAGAUACCGUCGUAGUCUUAACCAUAAACUAUGCCGACUAGGGAUCGGAUGAUGUUAAUUUUUUAAUGACUCAUUCGGCGCCUUACGGGAAACCAAAGUGUUUGGGUUCCGGGGGGAGUAUGGUCGCAAGGCUGAAACUUAAAGGAAUUGACGGAAGGGCACCACCAGGGGUGGAGCCUGCG
rnacentral:rRNA from 1 species